rnacentral:lncRNA from 1 species
GGAAAUUUAUUUGUUACAAAAAAAUCGUAAAAAAGAAUUAUGGAAAAAAAGCAGUGAUAAUACAAGUUGUUGAUUUAAAAAUGACAUUGAUUUAUUGGUACUUAGGUACAAGUAUGCAAAUUAACUGGACUAAUAAAAAGUCGACGCUGGAGGGAGCUAAAAUCAAUGUGGUGUCGCUGUCCUGUGUCUUGGUUAUUGUCUUAUGUUGUGGCUCGUCCUGGUUGGAAGACUGUUGACUGUUGUGCACGUUGUGGUUUUUGUCAUCAUCUCAUCUCUUUUUUACUUAAUUACUACAUUGUGUUUUACUUACAAAUUUGUUAAGUUGUUCAAGUUAACAUAUUUAUUUCUUUAUAUAAUUAAUAUUGUUUACCAUAAUAAAAGUUUUUUGAAGAUGACUGAUGGUUGGUGGAGUUUCCGAACUGUAAAAAAUUGGCUGGUAGAACACUAACUGAAGGUCACGCUAACGUUUAGCUUUGACAAAAAGGGUCAAGCAGGGGGGUUUGAACCUCGACACGAU